GACGAACGCUGGCGGCGUGCCUAAUACAUGCAAGUCGAACGCAAAACUUUCACCGAAUGCUUGCAUUCACGAAAGUUUUGAGUGGCGAACGGGUGAGUAACACGUGGGUAACCUGCCCAGAAGAGGGGGAUAACACUUGGAAACAGGUGCUAGUACCGCAUAAUAACAAAAACCGCAUGGUUUUUGUUUGAAAGAUGGUUUUGCUAUCACUUCUGGAUGGACCCGCGGCGUAUUGGCUAGUUGGUAAGGUAAAGGCUUACCAAGGCAAUGAUACGUAGCCGAACUGAGAGGUUGAUCGGCCACAUUGGGACUGAGACACGGCCCAAACUCCUACGGGAGGCAGCAGUAGGGAAUCUUCCACAAUGGGCGCAAGCCUGAUGGAGCAACACCGCGUGAGUGAAGAAGGGUUUCGGCUCGUAAAACUCUGUUGUUAAAGAAGAACGUAUCUAAGAGUAACUGCUUAGGUAGUGACGGUAUUUAACCAGAAAGCCACGGCUAACUACGUGCCAGCCGCCGCCGUAA
rnacentral:rRNA from 1 species